GACAAUGGCAGGAAGAGAGGAUUCUGGGAAAUAGUGAGAGAAUAAAAGGGAGACUUGUCCAGGGAGCCGGACAUAAAUCACCAGCAAGUAGCUGCACUGAGGACAGCAUAAAGGGAGAGAUUUGAAGGAGAUUGGCGAGAAACACUGAGGGAGACAACACUGAGGGAAACUUGAGAAGGACGCUGAGGGAGACACUGAGGGAGAAGAGAGCUGAGACUGAAGGAGAGGGAUACAUAUUAUCAUACACAGAGAGAUUUAUGCACAUACAGAUGGAUACAUGAUUGACGGGCGUUAAAUAUCCCUGCAAGGGUUGAGCAACAGGGUCUGUAUCUGGGAAGAGGAAAGAAACCCAGGCUUGCAUGUCCUUCUAUGCUAUCUUCAGUUUCUUAAAUUCCUGCUCAUGGAUGUAUAUCAUCUAACCCAUAGUCAUCUGUCCAAAAUGAAUCAAAUUUAAAUGCUAAGGCAUGGAUGAAGCUUAAAACUCUAAGGAGAAAAAACACUGAUCAGACUCCCAGACCCUGACACAUCCUGUCUAAGGUCCUGGUUUAGAGAACACCAGCAGCCAGCGUGGGGGUGGAUCAGCCUGUUUGGAGCACGUGAGACACUUAAACACUGGAAAUGAAGAUACAGCAUCACAGCAGACCCCAAAGCCACUGUGGUCAAGCCUGAGGCAGAGUUAACUUUCCCCUGAUCCUUAACAGGCUACCUGACCCUACAAAAUUCCUCUCCUGUGACCCUACAAAAGUCCCUUACUGUGACUCUCCUCUGGUCCCUGCCGCUCAUUCCGUUUCCCUGCCAAUACAUCAUUCCCCUCUCCUUAUAUUUUCUAGAAUCUUCUAUCUGCCCUUUGGCUCUGCCCCAAACUUCAUUUUGAGGAAUAUAUGGCAGGCAAUCCAAAUUGAUGCCAUAACUAUCCCUGAUUUUUGGUCCGCCCCUCUCAUCUGCAUUUUCAAGGUCCUGCCUUUCAGUGGGGUCCUCCACUCUCACCAGGCAUCGUAUGUUUGUUGAUGUGUUCUCUGGGCUUGCUCAGCAUCCAUUGUCUCCCCCUCUGGUACUUGACAUAAGAUCUGUGGAAAGCAAGGCCUCUCCCAUCGGUGCUCAUGGACUUCUAUUUUGUUUAGUCAGUUUGCUUUGUCUGGGGCCUAUGUUUGGUCAGUUGGUUUGAUGGUUGUUCCUUCAAUUUGUUUAUGGAGACAGGUAAACCAACUGGCUGGCUUUGAAUAUACCAAGUAGCCUAAGAUGACCUUGAACUCCCAAACCUCCUGGCUGCACCUCUCAAGUGCAUGUGUUUUAAGCAGGGUUUGCCUAGAAACAAACAGUUCAGGCAGAAGGCCCAAACUGGUCUGUACUGGCUGGUUUUGUGGGUCAACUUGUCACAAGCUGGAGUUAUCACAGAGAAAGGAACCUUAAGGGAAUGCCUCCAUAAGGUCCAGCUGUAAGACAUUUUCUCAAUUAGGGAUCAAGGGUAGGAGGGCCCAUUGUGGGUGGGGCCAUCCCUGGGCUGGUGGUCCUGGGUUCUACAAGAAGGCAGGCUGAGCAAGCCAGUAAGCAGCAUCUCUCCAUGGCCUCUGCAUCAGCUCCUGCUCUGGGUUCCUGCCCUGUGUGAGUUCCAGUCCUGACUUACUCUGGUGAUGAACAGCAAUGUGGAAGUGUAAGCUGAAUAAAUCCUUUCCUCCCCAA